AUGCACAUAGAUAGAUACACCAGAGACUUGGUGAAACAGCUAAGAGAAAACAAUAUAAGCCUGAGCAAGGUUUAUAGUGUGGUUGGCAGUUUUUUUGGAUCUGUGAAGGAGGUGCCAUUCACAAAGAGAUCUCUCAAAACUCUGUGUGGAAAACUUAAUAGAGAGCAGUCGGAAAAUGAUGCUACAAAAUAA
rnacentral:rRNA from 1 species